ensembl:lncRNA
GGGGAAAGGAACUUCAGCCCAGCUUCCUGGAGACCUCCUUGCUCUAGGAAAUGAUCCUAGUGCCACGAAAAAAAAAAAAAAGAAAGAAAGAAAGAAAAAGAAAAAGGAAAAGGAAAAGGAAAAGAAAAAGAAAAAGAAAAAGAAAAAGAAAAAGAAAAAGAAAAAGAAAAAGAAAAAGAAAAAGAAAAAGAAAAAGAAAAAGAAAAAAAACAGUUUAAGAAAGAAAAAGAAAAAGAAAGAGAAAAAGAAAAAGAAAAAGAAAAAGAAAAAGAAAAAGAAAAAGAAAAAGAAAAAGAAAAAGAAAAAGAAAAAGAAAAAGAAGAAGAAAAAGAAAAAAAAGAAAAUAGGAUGUCAACAACUUCUACGGCCCUAACUGCUUCUUCUCAACAGAUUGUUAGCUUAUGUGAAUCGGAGCAGCUCUGCUGAGUAACCCAAAGAAUGGAAAGGGGGAGGGGAAUAGCCUUGGGUUCAGAAGGACACAAUGUAGGCCUUCAUCCACAGCAACCCCCUCACCUUCUGGCUCCCGAGUCACAUUAACUUGUUGCCAACUCCAGGAGAUAGUAGAGUGAGAGACAAAGAGACACGGGGUGGGAAACAGCAAGGCUCUCCACCUGGAGAAGCCUGGCCUCUCCUCCUUCUCUUCCCAGCUCCUCUUCUUUGCCCUGCUGCUAAGCCCUGUCAUGAAAGGGAACCACAUAAAACAAAUGUGAUUACAAGACAGAAACAGCUAUUUUCUGAGCCAGAUUCCCUCCCUGAUCUGGUCCAUCUUACAUCCACGUGCACGCUGGACUAGAUACAAGGGAACAGGUAUAAAGAAAACAUGACUCUUUCUUUCAGCAUCAGUGCCAGCUUGAAAUGUUCAUCAAACGGCAGCCUUGUGAAACACCGGGAAAUCCCACAGUGAGCAAAGAGAAGAAAGCUGUGCUUUAAUUUCAGCAAAACACUGCACACAGACAAAGAACAGGCAGUGAGUGAGUGAUGCAAACGCGCCCAGUCGGAUUUCUCCACUGGACCUUCAAGAGAAAAAGAGGUAGAACAUCGAGCACAAAGGGCAGCCCGAGUUCUCCAAACACAAAAUGAGGACAAGCCAAAUCCUGUCCAAUUGCACAACAUUAAAGGGUGAUUCUGUGCUCUCUUACUUUGUGUUAAGGCAACAGCAAUGUUCUGACCUGCAGUGAUUUAUGUGUAGUAAAUUCAUGCUCAUAAACAAGUGAGAGGAACCAAAAUCUCAUGCCCUACUCCUUCCAAGUAAAACCAAACUCUUCACGGGCACAUAACAUUUAGCUGAGCUUUCUGUGAAGGAGGUAAUGUUUAUCCUCAUUUGAAUCCAGUAGAAAGACCAAAGCAGGAGAAACGGUGCUCAAAGAGCUCUUCUCCUCUACACAUGCAAGCAACUCUGCAAAAACUAAUUAAUUGCUUCACAUCCUUUGCUAACCUUAAUUAAUUUAGCCUGAUGUCUCCGCAGCUGGACAGGUGUUAUCAUCCCCACUAAACACAUAAGCAAGCUGAGUAAGACAGGGCAGGCCUUGUUUUCCUAAGUAGCAUCUAAUUUUCUGUGCACCUUUGUGUACAGGCAGCUUCUGCUAAUUUUGGCUGGAGCUGUAAGAGAUUAAUACACACGCAGGACAGAUUCUGGAUAUCUUAAGCCAGAGGGCUAAAAUUAAAGCCUGCGCUUGAAAAUGUGCACCUAAAAGACUUACCCAUAGCCGGGCAAGGCAGGAUCUGUUGCAGGAUCAGGAAAAUAAGCCAAGUCUUCAGAUUCCUUGGGGCUUGUCUCCACAAGAAAUGUAGGGAAGCACUGUAAAACUGCAGCACGCCAACAACUGACUCCCCAGGUGGACCUUUUGGUGCUCUCUGCUUUCAAAGAGCGAAUUUUAACC